rnacentral:rRNA from 1 species
CAGCAGCCGCGGUAAUACGGGGGGUGCAAGCGUUACUCGGAAUCACUGGGCGUAAAGAGCAUGUAGGCUGGUUUGUAAGUUGGAAGUGAAAUCCUAUGGCUUAACCAUAGAACUGCUUCCAAAACUGCAGACCUAGAGUAUGGGAGAGGUAGAUGGAAUUUCUGGUGUAGGGGUAAAAUCCGUAGAGAUCAGAAGGAAUACCGAUUGCGAAGGCGAUCUACUGGAACGUUACUGACGCUGAGAUGCGAAAGCGUGGGGAGCAAACAGGAUUAGAUACCCUGGUAGUCCACGCCCUAAACGAUGCACACUAGUUGUUGCUAUGCUAGACAUAGCAGUAAUGCAGUUAACACAGUAAGUGUGCCGCCUGGGGAGUACGGUCGCAAGAUUAAAACUCAAAGGAAUAGACGGGGACCCGCACAAGCGGUGGAGCAUGUGGUUUAAUUCGACGAUACGCGAAGAACCUUACCUGGCCUUGACAUAGGAAGAACUUACUAGAGAUAGUUUGGUGCUAGUUUACUAGAACUUCAUACCAGGUGCUGCACGGCUGUCGUCAGCUCGUGUCGUGAGAUGUUGGGUUAAGUCCCGCAACGAGCGCAACCCUCGUCGUUAGUUACUAACAGUUCGGCUGAGGACUCUAGACAGACUGCCUGGGUAACCAGGAGGAAGGUGAGGACGACGUCAAGUCAUCAUGGCCCUUACGGCCAGGGCUACACACGUGCUACAAUGGGGUAUACAAAGAGCCGCGAUACCGUGAGGUGGAGCAAAUCUCAUAAAAUAUCUCCCAGUUCGGAUAGUAGUCUGCAACUCGACUACUUGAAGUUGGAAUCGCUAGUAAUCGUAGAUCAGCAAUGCUACGGUGAAUACGUUCCCGGGUCUUGUACUCACCGCCCGUCACACCAUGGGAGUUGAUUUCAUUCGAAGCGGGGAUGCUAAAAUAGCUACCUUCCACAGUGGAAUUAGCGACUAGGGUGAAGUCGUAACAAGGUAACCGUA